rnacentral:rRNA from 1 species
CAAUAGCGUAUAUUAAAGUUGUUGCAGUUAAAAAGCUCGUAGUUGGAUUUCUGAUCGAGACAUCAGGUCGGGUCCGAGAGGAUCAUGUACUUUGAUUUUGUUUUGAUCAUCCUUGGGGAGAGCAUUUCUGGCAUUCAGUUGUCGGGAUUGGGAUCCUCAUCGUUUACUGUGAAAAAAUUAGAGUGUUCAAAGCAGGCCUCGGCCUCUGAAUACAUUAGCAUGGAAUAAUAAGAUAGGACUUUGGUGGUCUAUUUUGUUGGAUUGCACGCCAAAGUAAUGAUUAAUAGGGAUAGUUGGGGGUAUUCGUAUUCAAUUGUCAGAGGUGAAAUUCUUGGAUUUAUGGAAGACGAACUACUGCGAAAGCAUUUACCAAGGAUGUUUUCAUUAA